rnacentral:rRNA from 1 species
AACGAACGCUGGCGGCAUGCCUAACACAUGCAAGUCGAACGAGAACUUCGGGCCUAUUGGCGCACGGCUGAGGAACGCCGGGGAAGUUGCCCUUAGGUUCGGAACAACUCCCUGAAAGGGGUGCUAAUACCGGAUAAUUUCCUAGGACCAAAGAUUUAUCGCCUUUGGAUGGGCCCGCGUUGGAUUAGCUGGUUGGUAGGGUAAAAGCCUACCAAGGCGACGAUCCAUAGCUGGUCUGAGAGGAUGAUCCGCCACACUGGGACUGAGACACGGCCCAGACUCCUACGGGAGGGAGGAGAGGGGAAUAUAGGACAGUGGGCGAUAUCCUGAUCCAGCAAGGCUGCGUGAGUGAUGAAGGCCUGAGGGUAGUAAAUCUCUUUUACCCGGGAUGAUAAUGACGGUACCGGGAGAAGAAGCUCCGGCUAACUCCGUG